rnacentral:rRNA from 12 species
GUUAGUGGCCACACCUGAGUGCCAGUGCCUGAUAGCGUCUGAUCUCAGAAGCUAAGCAGGGCCAUGCCUGGUUAGUACUUCUUCAGCUACUGAGG